UGAGCAAUCUGCCCUUCUCUUCGGAAUAAGCGUUGGAAACGACGUCUAAUGCCGAAUACGACCUCCUUUCGCAUGAUCGGAGGUGGAAAGCUCCGGCGGAGAAGGAUGAGCUCGCGGCCUAUCAGCUAGUUGGUGUGGGUAAUGGCCCACCAAGGCGACGACGGGUAGCCGGCCUGAGAGGGCGACCGGCCACACUGGGACUGAGACACGGCCCAGACCUCCCGUACGGGAGGNAGCG
rnacentral:rRNA from 1 species